GUCUGACGUGGGGGGUGGGGGCGCUUUAGCUGCAGUUGGCUUCAAUACAGAAAUCCAUGGAAAAUCAGUGGAUGCAAUCCUGAAAUGGUAAAACGGCAUGUAUUUUAAAGCACUUUACUAUGUUCUUAGAAGGCCCAACUUUACAGUCUCAUUCACACACUGAUGGGGGCUCCACUGUUGAACACUGGUGAGAACCUGUAGCCCCCAGGAGCAAUGGGGUUCAGUGUCCUGCUCAAGGACACUUCGACACAUGGGUGCCUAGAGAGGGAGCCUAACCUGCAAUAUUCCAAUUAAUGUUGACCGCUCUACCUAUGCACUAUGGCCGCCCCACAAUGGGUGAGUUAAAUCGAACAAUUUUCAACUACUACUUGUUUUUUUUGUUUUUUUUUUACAUGUAUAUCUUUUUUUUGCCAUGAAUGAAGAUAUUAAAUGGAUUACCUUAUUAUUUAUAUUUAUUUAUUUACAUUUAUCUAAAUGUGCUUGGGCAAGACACUGAACCACACAUUGCUCCUGUUGGUUAUAGGUUGGAGCAGAGCCACCAUCAGUGUGUGAAUAUGUGUGAAUGUGACUGGGACUGUCCAGUUAAGGCUCAAGGAAGGUAUUAAAGUGCUAUACAAGCCAACGCUAUCUACCAUUUACUUAUUUUUGCCUUUUUUAUUGAAGGUAUCCUUGUUGGAAUAACACUUGCAACUUGUUUUCUUUGUUGUGCAUAGCUGUUGUAGACAAAGCCAGGAGCAGGAGGACUUGAAAAAGUCCAGAUCUUUCAAAAGGUUUAAUACUGGAAGCCAAUACAUAAACUGUAGAGAAAAGAACAGAAAAUGGGUGCCCGUGAAAUAAACAAACAGGAAAGCAAGCAUCUGAUUGAUACGAAACAAGAGAAGAAACAGAAAAAACAAAACAAAAA